ACCUCUUAUUAAUGUUUUUAAGAGUGUUUACAAAAACUAUCGACCGUCCCUAAAACAAGUGGCAAAAAUUUAGAAGUUAGUAUCCGAGACCUAAGUUCGAAUCUUAGUUGAUUCACAUUUCUUUCUAAAUUUAUUUUUAAAUAAAAUAAACGAAAUGGGUAGCGUGUUAUUUAUUUUUUUUAAAAAAAAAUAGUGUUUACAAAAACUGCACUAGUACAAACACAU
rnacentral:lncRNA from 1 species